CCAAAAAAUUACCAGCAGACACUGGCUCUGGAUUUUGUUGAGAUGAUCAAGAGAAAGCCUGAUCAGAUGUCUCAUAUUGCUUUAGGAUUCCUUAUCUAAGGAAACCCUUGGUGAGCUCCUGGAUAUGGCUGUCUGAAGAAGGUCACAGUAUCCAUAAGUAUAUCUAUGAAAGGAAUGGAAAGUUCCUCACAUGUUCUCACCAAGAACAGUGAUGCCAAUUCGGUCCAUCUGGUGUGUAAAGCUGCAGAGUGGUACCCAGAGCCUGAGGCAAGCUGGAAACCUCCAAGGACAUAAUUUAAAGCCACCCUCUGAAAAUGACAGAACAAAUGGGAAAGGCCUAUUCUCUAAUGAAACUUCAGUCCUGGUAAUUGAACUCAAAAAUUGUGCUCUGUUCCAUUCUCAACUCCAGGCUCAACCAGAAAAAGUGGACAACGAUUUCUGUUUCAGGGGAAGGAGUUCAUUACCAAUGGAGCUGCACUGCAAAUGUUAAAAGAGGUCCCAUAACCAUGAGGAAACUAUAGCAGAUGGACAUCUGGAAAAUGGUGUCCUAAGCUUCUAUUUUACAUGUAACUUUGGAUACUUCAGCUCUCUCUGAUUACUAACAUCCGUUUUUGUCACAUUCAUCCUGCAACAGAAUAAAACCAGACCAUCGCAAAGGGCAGAGCCACCUCCUACCCUUUCCCACAAAGUGUAGAGAUCUCUUUGGAUUUACAGGAAUUCAUAGCCUUUGCCAAAAAACCUGCCUUUUUUCACAAUGGAUCGCCUAUUUCCUCUACGAGUUUGGUAUCUGUGCUGCGGAACUUUCCUGGCUCACGGUUCCUUGGAAUUUCCUGAGUGAUAAGAGCACUGGGAGCAUCUUUUGUCAUCAUAUUUGGUCUCUUGGCUUCAGUUCCUGAAAUUGCUUCAGAGCCGUAGAGGUAACAAACCAACAUCGAGUACUUCCUGCGAGCCAGGCUCUCUGUAAAUAUUUUAGACGUGGAGCCUGGCUUAAUCCCAGCGGCACCACAGAGAUAAGUAUGAUCUCCCCUUUUACAAACGAGGGCGGCAAGACACUGAGACAGCUCUUUUCAACA